rnacentral:lncRNA from 1 species
AUCUUGUUCCCUUUACCCCCUCAAGCCUGGAGGUGCCAAGAGCUCCCUGCUGUUGUUAGUCUUUGUCAGCUUCCUUUAACUUUUUAAAAAUAGUCUCCUCAACAAACUCUUCUAAUUAACCACCUGCUUCCCUCCAAGACCCUGUCUGAUACACCAAGCUUCCUCAUCAGGAUUACUCAAGGAGCUCAGGGUUAACAACUUUCCCCACUAGAGUGAAGAUCAAGCUCUGAAGGGCCACCUGAGAGUGACCACUGAAGACAUUGCCCUAUGAGGAGUAGGAAGACCGGCCCUGAGCUAACAUCCAUGCCCAUCUUCCUCUACUCUAUACGUGGGACGCCUACCACAGCAUGGCUUUUGCCAAGUGGUGCCAUGUCCACACCCAGGAUCCGAACCGGUGAACCCCAGGCAGCCGAGAAUCAGAACGUGGAAACUUAACUGCUGGGCCACUGGGCUGGCCCCCCACACUGUCUUGAUUAUUGUAGUUUUAUAGUACAUCUUGAAGUCAGCUAGUGUCAAUCCUCCAACUUUGCUCUUUUUCAGUAUUGUGUUAGCUAUUCUGUGCUAGAGCUUUUUUUUAAGAGCAUUUUUUAAUAACCUGCCCAAAGAUCUUCUGACUCAGAAAUUGUAAUUCUGACCAAUAAUCGAUUAGGGAUCAGAUGUUUUCCAAUCCUAUGACAGCUGGAUUUAAUUUAUAGAAAUGAAUAGGAUGCAAUG